AGAGUUUGAUCCUGGCUCAGGAUGAACGCUGGCGGCGUGCCUAACACAUGCAAGUCGAACGGAGUUCUUAAGGAAUGCGACUUCGGUCAAAUGACUUUUGAACUUAGUGGCGGACGGGUGAGUAACGCGUGAGCAACCUGCCUUUCAGAGGGGGAUAACAUUUGGAAACAGAUGCUAAUACCGCAUAAGAUUACAGUACCGCAUGAUACAGUGAUCAAAGGAGCAAUCCGCUGAAAGAUGGGCUCGCGUCCGAUUAGAUAGUUGGUGAGGUAACGGCUCACCAAGUCGACGAUCGGUAGCCGGACUGAGAGGUUGAACGGCCACAUUGGGACUGAGACACGGCCCAGACUCCUACGGGGGGCAGCAGUGGGGAAUAUUGCACAAUGGGCGAAAGCCUGAUGCAGCAACGCCGCGUGAGGGAAGACGGUUUUCGGAUUGUAAACCUCUGUUUUCGGUGACGAACAAAUGACGGUAACCGAGUAGGAAGCCACGGCUAACUACGUGCCAGCAGCCGCGGUAAUACGUAGGUGGCAAGCGUUAUCCGGAAUUACUGGGUGUAAAGGGAGCGCAGGCGGGAUAGCAAGUCAGUUGUGAAAACUAUGGGCUCAACCCAUAAACUGCAGUUGAAACUGUUAUUCUUGAGUGGAGUAGAGGCAAGCGGAAUUCCGAGUGUAGCGGUGAAAUGCGUAGAUAUUCGGAGGAACACCAGUGGCGAAGGCGGCUUGCUGGGCUCUAACUGACGCUGAGGCUCGAAAGUGUGGGGAGCAAACAGGAUUAGAUACCCUGGUAGUCCACACUGUAAACGAUGAUUGCUAGGUGUGGGGGGGGCUGACCCCCUCCGUGCCGGAAUUUAACGCAAUAAG
rnacentral:rRNA from 1 species